UACGUAGGGUGCGAGCGUUAAUCGGAAUUACUGGGCGUAAAGCGUGCGCAGGCGGUUUUGUAAGCCAGAUGUGAAAGCCCCGGGCUCAACCUGGGAAUUGCAUUUGAGACUGAAUAGCUAGGGUGCGGAAGAGGGAAGCGGAAUUUCCGGUGUAGCGGUGAAAUGCGUAGAUAUCGGAAGGAACACCAGUGGCGAAAGCGGCUUCCUGGUCCAGCACCGACGUUCAGGCACGAAAGCGUGGGGAGCAAACAGG
rnacentral:rRNA from 1 species